rnacentral:rRNA from 1 species
AAGCCCAUGCCGGUCGAAGAUACCAGGCCGCUGCGACUGUUUAUUAAAAACACAGCACUCUGCAAACACGAAAGUGGACGUAUAGGGUGUGACGCCUGCCCGGUGCCGGAAGGUUAAUUGAUGGGGUUAGCUAACGCGAAGCUCUUGAUCGAAGCCCCGGUAAACGGCGGCCGUAACUAUAACGGUCCUAAGGUAGCGAAAUUCCUUGUCGGGUAAGUUCCGACCUGCACGAAUGGCGUAACGAUGGCGGCGCUGUCUCCACCCGAGACUCAGUGAAAUUGAAAUCGCUGUGAAGAUGCAGUGUAUCCGCGGCUAGACGGAAAGACCCCGUGAACCUUUACUAUAGCUUUGCACUGGACUUUGAAUUUGCUUGUGUAGGAUAGGUGGGAGGCUUUGAAGCGUGGACGCCAGUCUGCGUGGAGCCAACCUUGAAAUACCACCCUGGCAACUUUGAGGUUCUAACUCAGGUCCGUUAUCCGGAUCGAGGACAGUGUAUGGUGGGUAGUUUGACUGGGGCGGUCUCCUCCUAAAGAGUAACGGAGGAGUACGAAGGUGCGCUCAGACCGGUCGGAAAUCGGUCGUAGAGUAUAAAGGCAAAAGCGCGCUUGACUGCGAGACAGACACGUCGAGCAGGUACGAAAGUAGGUCUUAGUGAUCCGGUGGUUCUGUAUGGAAGGGCCAUCGCUCAACGGAUAAAAGGUACUCCGGGGAUAACAGGCUGAUACCGCCCAAGAGUUCAUAUCGACGGCGGUGUUUGGCACCUCGAUGUCGGCUCAUCACAUCCUGGGGCUGAAGCCGGUCCCAAGGGUAUGGCUGUUCGCCAUUUAAAGUGGUACGCGAGCUGGGUUUAGAACGUCGUGAGACAGUUCGGUCCCUAUCUGCCGUGGACGUUUGAGAUUUGAGAGGGGCUGCUCCUAGUACGAGAGGACCGGAGUGGACGAACCUCUGGUGUUCCGGUUGUCACGCCAGUGGCAUUGCCGGGUAGCUAUGUUCGGAAUAGAUAACCGCUGAAAGCAUCUAAGCGGGAAACUAGCCUCAAGAUGAGAUCUCACUGGGACCUUGAGUCCCCUGAAGGGCCGUCGAAGACUACGACGUUGAUAGGUUGGGUGUGUAAGCGCUGUGAGGCGUUGAGCUAACCAAUACUAAUUGCCCGUGAGGCUUGACCA